GCAAGAUCAAUGAAAAUAAAGUGCUUUGUAAAACAAGUAAAAUGUUUAGCCGACGUAAAACAAGUGAAUAAAAGACUAGCCGAAGUGAAAGCAAGUGAAUGAAAACUAGCCGAAGUGAAAGCAAGUGAACGAAAAAAUGAAGUGAAAUAAAUCUAGAGAUACCUGACUUGACGAGCUAAAAAUUUAAGAUAUGGUGUAAGU
rnacentral:lncRNA from 1 species